rnacentral:rRNA from 1 species
CAACAGAUUUACUUCGGUAAUGACGUUGGGAAAGCGAGCGGCGGAUGGGUGAGUAACACGUGGGGAACCUGCCCCUAAGUCUGGGAUACCAUUUGGAAACAGGUGCUAAUACCGGAUAAUAAAGCAGAUCGCAUGAUCAGCUUUUGAAAGGCGGCGUAAGCUGUCGCUAAGGGAUGGCCCCGCGGUGCAUUAGCUAGUUGGUAAGGUAACGGCUUACCAAGGCGACGAUGCAUAGCCGAGUUGAGAGACCGAUCGGCCACAUUGGGACUGAGACACGGCCCAAACUCCUACGGGAGGCAGCAGUAGGGAAUCUUCCACAAUGGACGCAAGUCUGAUGGAGCAACGCCGCGUGAGUGAAGAAGGUUUUCGGAUCGUAAAGCUCUGUUGUUGGUGAAGAAGGAUAGAGGUAGUAACUGGCCUUUAUUUGACGGUAAUCAACCAGAAAGUCACGGCUAACUACGUGCCAGCAGCCGCGGUAAUACGUAGGUGGCAAGCGUUGUCCGGAUUUAUUGGGCGUAAAGCGAGCGCAGGCGGAAAAAUAAGUCUAAUGUGAAAGCCCUCGGCUUAACCGAGGAACUGCAUCGGAAACUGUUUUUCUUGAGUGCAGAAGAGGAGAGUGGAACUCCAUGUGUAGCGGUGGAAUGCGUAGAUAUAUGGAAGAACACCAGUGGCGAAGGCGGCUCUCUGGUCUGCAACUGACGCUGAGGCU